rnacentral:tRNA from 1 species
GUGUUAGGAUUAAUACUUAGUUUGAAGCUAAGUUAACUAAAUAUAUUUUAGCUAACAUU